CUUGUGUACGCUUCAUGUAAAACGACAUCAUGAACAUCAAAGUCGAUUCAAAAGAGUCAUGUGUCGGCUUCGUGUAAUUUCUGAUUUUCUUUUUCUUUUUUUUUUUCUUUUGGAUAGUCACACAUGUUGGGAGAUGUUGCUUCGAAACGUUUUUCUCAGCAAACAUGGGUGAUUUUCAUGCACUCGAUGAACUGAUGCACUUCCCAUUUUCUCUUGUGCAUCUUCGUGCCGCCCCCUUCUCGUUUAUGUUUAUUCUGAUUCAGAAAUCUUUGGAAAUUGACCAUAUAGUUCUUCUGGUGACAAUCAACAACCGCUCUCAAUAUAUCGCUGAAACAGUCUUCACGGUGAAGACUUUCAAUGUCGUCCCUUCUGAUAUACUAUUUUUUCUCCCGGAAUAACCGAAUAUUUGGAUGUUGAAUCCCUUAAAAUUGUGAACGAAGUUUACUCUCUUUUCUCUUGAAAUUGUCCAUGUACUCUCCGACGGUUUGCAUGUCAGGCCGUCUAAAACCAAAUCAAGCUAUUCUAACCCUCAAACGACGCAACUUACCAUUACGUCGAUCCAAUCCCAUUAUUUUCGUUUCUCCUUCAACGCCUCACUUUCUAUAUAAACCCUUUUUCUCUUCUACAAUAUUUAUACGUUUCCAAAUACGCCCACUUCACUCAACGUUUCAACAAGGACACCCAUAAAUUGGAUACACACACCCGCUGGGAGGCGCUCUGGUUUUGCAGAUUAGGUCUUCCUUUUGCAAUUCGACAUACGUUCAAUUCUGCAUCUUUUCAAUCACGUGGAAGACGUUUCCUUAAAUAUCUGGAAAUCGGAAUCAAAGAAGAACGGCUCAACUUUUCUUUCUUCCGUUACCUUCUACAGAGGGAGAGUAACAAAAUUGGAACUAUUGGAUGAUAAAACUUAGGAAAAGGCAAUUGUCUCUUCUUCUAUUCCACACCAAAUUGGAUUUCUUAACCACAGAGGUAUGAAUUACUUGUCACAUUCCGCUUUACCUAUGUUUACUGUCACAUUCCACUCCAUUUACAUUGUUAACAAGAAAUUUGUUCUAUGUAAUCGAAGAAAUGGAUGCCCAACUUAAGGUAACAUAAAAAGUUAUUGAAAACUGAAUCAAUUUUGUGGUAUUUUUUCUGGGAUGUGUGGAAAGGCUGAUAUAAUGUGCACACUUUCAUGUACUCCAGCCAAAAACACACAUUUUUGACAGCAAUUAAAAAAAAAAUAUUUCAUAGAGUCUCAAAGAUCAAGUGAUCUUUAAGCUGGACAUUUGGCACGACCAACAACUUACUUCAACCUAUUCAAAGUGAUCUUCUGCCAACCUUUCAUUCCCACAGGUACAUCUUCACUAACACUAAUUUCAUUCGAUUUUAAUUACUUGAGAUCGUUCUUGCUUCUCUUCUAUAUUAUACCAUGAUAUGCUCUCAUCUGAUGUGUGUAAUUGUCUUAAAACGUUUGUGAAUGAUUAUGGGUUAUUUGUGAAAGUAAUGAACAAUCUCUAUCGGAUCGAAUUGCAUGAAAUUUGUCAUGCUUCAUCAUUCUGAUUCAAUAUAGGUUCACAACCAUUGUGAUUUAUUAGUACCUUCCUGCAAAUUUGUGUAUGUACCUUGUACAGAAUCCCAUUUCCUCUCUCGUUCUUUUGUGUUAUGUUUGGUUAUUAACUUUUCAAAAGCAUAAUUCCCAAUGUUCAUGAAAGUUAGCGUCGUAUCCCAAACUAAAAUUGACCAUAUUUAUUCCAUAUUGCAUGUAGUUUUUUUGAUUCCUGAGCUUAACAUGAUGCUAUAUAAUCUAAAUAUUGAUUUAUAUCCAUUCAACCCACCAGAUAUAGGAGAAAUUGUUGUUUUCUUUUUUGAAAUUACAGCUUUUGGCAUAUCAAAUUUUCCCCAUGUUGUAGACUUAAUCGUGUUCUUGACCAUAAGAUAUGAUAUGGAUUAUCAUGUCACUGUUUUAUAAUUGAAAUUCUUUUGUUCCAAUAAAAUAUGAAUUUUUAACAGUUACAUUGCAUAUUUUGUGGUCGUCUAUGAUAUGGAUUAUUAUGUCAAGUUACAUGUUAAAUUGAUCAGCUCAAGUUUCAUGGGAAUAGGAAUGUACAUUCGUUUGUUUGUAUAAUAUAGCAUUGUACUUUCAUAUUCUUUUGCUAAUUUAGGUCUUUUAUGUUGAAAAUCUACCCAUUUAUAUCAUUAACAUUCCAAUUUUUUGUUAUUACACAAUUUGUUCAACAACUAUGAACCAAAUACCCAAAUUACCCUUAUGUGUUCAUGUUCAAGGCUUUUCAACGACUACUACACUGUAUAGACUCAAAUUUCUAAAAGAAGACUUUUUACCAUUCCUAUAAGAUUUUAGAUAUCUUUUUCUAUGUGUGUAUACAAAUAUGUGGAAACUUUGCACAACAACCAUAUUACAUACAUACACCACUAUUAAAGGCACUUGUAGUAAUGAUCUCUUACCUCCCUCUAAGCUUCAGCAGUUGAGAUUUAAUAUCAGUACAUAACAUAAUUUAUCAUUUAGCAUCUUACUUUCAUGUUUUUGUUUUGUUGACAUUUUAAAAUAGCUUUACCAGUACAAUGUUCUUAUUUUAAAGGUCACAUGAAUGUAAUUUCGUUUUGUUACCCAUAAUAGCAAUGUACAUCGAAUAAGGAUUACUUAUUAAUAAUUGCAAAAUACUUCAUUCCAAUAUACUUUAAUCUUUCUAAAUACCCAAUAGCCAUUCUCGGACCGUGCUUAGCACGGACCUCGGAAAAUACCUAAUAUAUAUAUAUAUAUAUAUAUAUAUAUAUAUAUAUAUAUAUAUAUAUAUAUAUAUAUAUAUAUUGUAAAUUACAUUUCCCCUAAAUAAGUUUACCCUAAAAACAUUCAUUCUUCCGGCCGAUAUUCUAGACUAUCGUUUCUAGUUUUUUUUUUUCCUGAAAUCGCAUACACCAAUUGUUGUGUUCAAUUUCUACAUUUCAAAGUACCAAUCUCUUGUAAUCGGAGAUUUCAUCAACUUCGUAGUGGCCUUACAGUGUAGCCACCCCACUACCACAAUUUCUUAAUAGCAUAAUCGGGAAUAAAUAAUAUGUUUGAAAUCCAAAAUCGAAAGGAAUACAAAUCCAAUUUCGUAAUAGUUAGUAGAGCAGAAAGAUACCUAAAAAGCGAUUUCAGUCCGUUGCUAAAGUUAUGAAGAAAAAAUGGCGUCCUUGUGGUCUAAUUUUGGAAUAUGUUGGCUGUCGGAUUUCAAUGAUGAAAAUAGGGCGAUGAUGAAGAAGAGCAGCAAAUCUCCAUAAUCAUAAAGCAUGAUGGUGGUUAUUGAGUCGAGUGUUGAAGAGUAUGUUGCAUUCAACAACAGCUUAGAGAAUCUCACAUGAUUUCUUUUCACAUCUUAUGAAAGAAAUAGUAUUGUUGAAGAUGAGAAAGCACAAUAAAACUCGACAAAGGGAAGGAAUGUGGAGGACGUGUUGAUGAUAAUGAAAUAUAAAUGGAGUCAAAAUAUUAAUUUCAAGUUGCUGAUUUUUUGGGAUUUCAUUGAAAUUUUGAAAAGAGUCAAAAUAAGAGAGGAUUUUUUACCAAACAAAUCAAACGUGAAUUGCUGUUGUUUUCAAAAAGCAUGGAAUUUAAAUUUAAAUUUAAAUGUUAUAAGAAACCCAAAAAUGCAAUAAGUUGAAAAAAAAAUCAGGAUUACAAUUUAAUUUUAAUGUAAUUUAAUUUUAAUAAGAAUAAGAAUUAUUCAUAAAAUGACACGUGGCAUGUUAGAAUGGUAGAAAGGGGACA